rnacentral:rRNA from 1 species
AUACGGAGGAUCCGAGCGUUAUCCGGAUUUAUUGGGUUUAAAGGGUGCGCAGGCGGCCAUUUAAGUCAGCGGUUAAAUCGUGGGGCUCAACCCCAUUCUGCCGUUGAUACUGGGUGGCUUGAUUGCGGUCGAGGUUGGCGGAAUUCGUUGUGUAGCGGUGAAAUGCAUAGAUAUGACGAAGAACACCGAUUGCGUAGGCAGCUGACCAGAUCGCAAAUGACGCUCAUGCACGAAAGUGCGGGGAUCGAACAGGAUUAGAUACCCUGGUAGUCCGCACAGUAAACGAUGAAUACUUGUUUUCGGCGAUAUAAUGUCGGAGGCAAAGCGAGAGCGAUAAGUAUUCCACCUGGGGAGUACGCCGGCAACGGUGAAACUUAAAGGAAUUGACGGGG